UGAUCAUGGCUCAGAUUGAACGCUGGCGGCAGGCUUAACACAUGCAAGUCGAGCGGGCGAGGUUGCUUCGGUAACUGAGCUAGCGGCGGACGGGUGAGUAAUGCUUAGGAAUCUGCCUAUUAGUGGGGGACAACGUUCCGAAAGGGACGCUAAUACCGCAUACGUCCUACGGGAGAAAGCAGGGGAUCUUCGGACCUUGCGCUAAUAGAUGAGCCUAAGUCGGAUUAGCUAGUUGGUGGGGUAAAGGCUUACCAAGGCGACGAUCUGUAGCGGGUCUGAGAGGAUGAUCCGCCACACUGAGACUGAGACACGGCCCAGACUCCUACGGGAGGCAGCAGUGGGGAAUAUUGGACAAUGGGGGGAACCCUGAUCCAGCCAUGCCGCGUGUGUGAAGAAGGCCUUUUGGUUGUAAAGCACUUUAAGCGAGGAGGAGGCUUACCUGGUUAAUACCUGGGAUAAGUGGACGUUACUCGCAGAAUAAGCACCGGCUAACUCUGUGCCAGCAGCCGCGGUAAUACAGAGGGUGCAAGCGUUAAUCGGAUUUACUGGGCGUAAAGCGCGCGUAGGUGGCUAAUUAAGUCAAAUGUGAAAUCC
rnacentral:rRNA from 1 species